UACGAAGGGGGCUAGCGUUGUUCGGAAUUACUGGGCGUAAAGCGCACGUAGGCGGAUAUUUAAGUCAGGGGUGAAAUCCCGGGGCUCAACCCCGGAACUGCCUUUGAUACUGGGUAUCUCGAGUCCGAGAGAGGUGAGUGGAAUUCCGAGUGUAGAGGUGAAAUUCGUAGAUAUUCGGAAGAACACCAGUGGCGAAGGCGACUCACUGGACAUGUAUUGACGCUGAGGUGCGAAAGCGUGGGGAGCAAACAGG
rnacentral:rRNA from 1 species